UACAGAGGGUGCGAGCGUUAAUCGGAAUUACUGGGCGUAAAGCGCGCGUAGGCGGCUUUGCAAGUCGGGUGUGAAAUCCCCAGGCUUAACCUGGGAACUGCAUUCGAGACUGCAUUGCUAGAGUAUGGGAGAGGGAAGUGGAAUUCCCGGUGUAGUGGUGAAAUGCGUAGAUAUCGGGAGGAACACCAGUGGCGAAGGCGACUUCCUGGCCUGUUCUUGACGCUGAGGCGCGAAAGCGUGGGGAGCAAACAGG
rnacentral:rRNA from 1 species